rnacentral:rRNA from 1 species
GCGACAGGCCUAACACAUGCAAGUCGAGGGGCAGCGACAAGGAGCAAUCUGAGGUGGGCGACCGGCGCACGGGUGAGUAACACGUAUGCAACCUGCCUGUAAGCGGGGAAUAACCCGUUGAAAGACGGACUAAUACCGCAUAAUACUAAAUUACUGCAUGGUAAUUUAUUUAAACAUUUAUGGCUUACAGAUGGGCAUGCGCAUGAUUAGCUAGUUGGAGAGGUAACGGCUCCCCAAGGCAACGAUCAUUAGGGGUUCUGAGAGGAAGGUCCCCCACACUGGUACUGAGACACGGACCAGACUCCUACGGGAGGCAGCAGUGAGGAAUAUUGGUCAAUGGACGAGAGUCUGAACCAGCCAAGUCGCGUGCAGGAAGAAUGUCCCUAUGGAUUGUAAACUGCUUUUGCAGGGGAAUAAAGUGCAUCACGUGUGAUGUUUUGUAUGUACUCUGCGAAUAAGGAUCGGCUAACUCCGUGCCAGCCGCCGC